rnacentral:rRNA from 1 species
GUGACGAUGCGACGCCGCGUGAGCGAAGAAGGCCCUAGGGUUGUAAAGCUCUGUCGAGGGUUAUGAAAUAUAGAUGGGUUAAUACCUCAUUUAUUUGACAAAAGCCCAAAAGGAAGCCACGGCUAACUCUGUGCCAGCAGCCGCGGUAAUACAGAGGUGGCGAGCGUUGUUCGGUAUUAUUGGGCGUAAAGAGCACGUAGGUGGUUUUGUAAGUCAGGUGUGAAAGCCUUCUGUUCAAAGGAAGAACGGCAUCUGAAACUGCAGAUCUUGAGUGUAGGAGGGGAGAGUGGAACUUCUGGUGGAGCGGUGAAAUGCGUAGAUAUCAGAAGGAACGUCGGCGGCGAAAGCGACUCUCUGGCCUAUUACUGACACUGAGGUGCGAAAGUUAGGGGAGCAAACGGGAUUAGAUACCCCGGUAGUCCUAACCGUAAACGAU